rnacentral:tRNA from 3 species
UGCCCGAUGGUGUAACGGUAGCACAGCAGACUCUGGAUCUGUUUGUCAUGGUUCGAAUCCAUGUCGGGCAGCCA